CCUGGAUUUGCACUUAUCGGCUAUAACAAAACAUCCGCUGGAUCAUGACUGAUGGAACAGGACUCUAAGUAUAAUCAGUUAUAGCGUUCCUGUCUCACCCUAAACACCCGCUAGUUUUCUCCGACUAAAUCUGGACUCCUACAGCUGCCAUCAAAACGUGUUCUGAAGUGACAAUGACAUCAUGGCAGUACUGAGGCAGAUUCUUCAAGAUUGAGCUUUUUGGAGCCUGCUUCUGUGACCAUCUCUCCUUUACUCGGCGGAAAAUGAACAUCCCCUGCUAAGCAGGGAGAACUGAGGGACACAGCCUGGCACAUGCCCAUCACAGCUUCUCUCUCCCUCUUCCUGGUGAUUGGGAUGGCAUUCUUCCUCAAGCAAUGCGUGUGCCCAAAGAGCAUACAAUACAUUUUACAUGGUAUUAGACACUUUUUCCUUUCUAGAAUUGGAGACACAGUGUGACCCACUCAGUGAAGGAUGGAAAAAGAGCACGUUUGUCAAAUUUAGCUCAGGUCACUGCCAGCUUCAUCUCUCUGCUGUGUGAAAGACCGGCAAACCCCUCCUCUCCGUUUCAUCCACCACGCCUUGCUUAUGUUGUGAAGGCGGAUCCUAAUUCUUGUCCUAAGUCCGAUCUUGACUGUAUAAUGCAUUAAGGAGGUCACAGGAACACAGCUUGUUAGACUGAUUUCUUUCUGCUAUGAAUUUUCCAGGUUGCAUUUGUUGAGAUGACAGACCUACAUUCUACCUUCGUCUCUUCCUUCUCUACACAGAGGAAUAUGAUGGAGAGUAGCUUUAAAGCAGAAUGGACAACAUCACCCAGCAUCACUGGCGAGCUCUAGAUGCACACAAUAGUGCCUGGACCACUCCAUCCCACAGCUACUGAACCCAAUACUACUACAGCAGCACAGGCAGGAAAAUGGUCCCAGGUGACCCUGAGGUCUUCUCGCCACUGUGGACAAAAUUGGAAGAACCCCACAGCUUCCCUCCUAAGACCAUGAUUUAAAGGAAAUAGUCACAAAGGUUCAUGUUUUGGAAGAGAGAAGCUUCGUCUUUGUGGAAGCAAUUAAAUAUA
rnacentral:lncRNA from 1 species